rnacentral:rRNA from 1 species
AUUGAAUGCUGGCGGCAUGCCUUACACAUGCAAGUCGAACGGUAACAGGUCUUCGGAUGCUGACGAGUGGCGAACGGGUGAGUAAUACAUCGGAACGUGCCCGAGAGUGGGGGAUAACGAGGCGAAAGCUUUGCUAAUACCGCAUACGAUCUCAGGAUGAAAGCAGGGGACCGCAAGGCCUUGCGCUCACGGAGCGGCCGAUGGCAGAUUAGGUAGUUGGUGGGAUAAAAGCUUACCAAGCCGACGAUCUGUAGCUGGUCUGAGAGGACGACCAGCCACACUGGGACUGAGACACGGCCCAGACUCCUACGGGAGGCAGCAGUGUGGAAUUUUGGACAAUGGGCGCAAGCCUGAUCCAGCCAUGCCGCGUGCAGGAUGAAGGCCUUCGGGUUGUAAACUGCUUUUGUACGGAACGAAAAGACUCUGGUUAAUACCUGGGGUCCAUGACGGUACCGUAAGAAUAAGCACCGGCUAACUACGUGCCAGCCGCCGCCGUAAUAC